rnacentral:rRNA from 1 species
AUGGCGAAGAAGGCCGCAAAGCGAGCUGUUGGUGAAGCAAGGGGUCGGGCAUAUGAGGACCUUUACCAACGGUUAGGCACGAAGGAAGGUGAAAGGAACAUCUAUAAGAUGGCUAAGAUCCGGGAGAGGAAGACGAGGGAUAUUGGCCAAGUCAAAUGCAUCAAGGACGGAGCAGGCCAACUCUUGGUGAAGGACGAAGAGAUUAAGCAUAGAUGGCGGGAGUACUUCGACAAGCUGUUCAAUGGGGAGAAUGAGAGUUCUACCAUUGAACUGAAUGACUCCUUUGAUGAGACCAGCAUGCGUUUUGUGCGGCGCAUCCAGGAGUCUAAGGUGAAGGAGGCUUUAAAAAGGAUGAAAGGAGGCAAGGCGAUGGGCCCUGAUUGUAUCCCCAUUGAGGUGUGGAAAGGUCUCGGGGACAUAGCGAUAGUAUGGCUAACCAAGCUUUUCAACCUCAUUUUUCGGGCAAACAAGAUGCCAGAAGAAUGGAGACGGAGUAUAUUAGUACCAAUCUUCAAGAACAAGGGGGAUGUUCAGAGUUGUACUAAUUACCGUGGAAUUAAGCUGAUGAGCCAUACAAUGAAGCUAUGGGAGAGAGUCAUUGAGCACCGCUUAAGAAGAAUGACAAGCGUGACCAAAAAUCAGUUUGGUUUCAUGCCUGGGAGGUCGACCAUGGAAGCCAUUUUCUUGGUACGACAACUUAUGGAGAGAUAUAGGGAGCAUAAGAAGGACUUGCAUAUGGUGUUCAUUGACUUGGAGAAGGCCUAUGAUAAGAUACCGCGGAAUGUCAUGUGGUGGGCCUUGGAGAAACACAAAGUCCCAGCAAAGUACAUUACCUCAUCAAGGACAUGUACAAUAAUGUUGUGA